AAAUAAGCCCAACCCGAAAAAAUCUUACCAAAUAUCACAAUCCCAAAUUAAAAAAAAUCCGCUUCAUCUUCCUCGCCUGAAGAUGGAGUUGAUGCAGCUGCGGAAACGAUUCUCUCCUUUAUUAUUCAUUGAAAAUUCAUUCAAGAAGAAGCUCGAUUUCUUCUUCUUCUUCGCCGCUGCUACUCCGGUAACUUCUCUAACGCUCCUUCAGAAUAACUCAGCACAACGUAGAUUCGUUUUCUACUUUUAGGUGUAAGGAUGAUAUGGAAGAAGGGUUUAUGAUUCGAGUUUCAUCAAAGGAUAAUCGAGAGGUUGAAUCUUGUUGGUUAUAUAAAGGUUUAAGUUGUAAAUCUAAGUCUAAUGGUGUAUCUUCUAUUUCUUGUAUCUGGACUAUACUAGGCAUUUGCAUCUGACUGACUUCGAAUAGAUGGGGAUAAUCUAUUAUAUCUUUUAUGGCAAAGCAAUCUGAAUGAUGCGUAUUUGAAAUA